AGAGGAAGCUCUCCGUAGAGGCCACGUGCUGGGUGUCCAUCACCCUUUGUCCCGCCUCUGGGAAGGUCUGAGAGAAAAGCCAAGUUUGCCACCCUAGCAAGGUGCCACCUUCUGAAGGUGGGUGAGUUCCCAGGAAUCGCAGUAAAGCACCCAGACAGAAAAAGACAUCACAUCGGAUUUGGCCUGAAGUGGGAAACAAAAUAAGUAGCAUUAAAAUUCUGUUUUGUCCUUCUAUCAGCAUUGGAAUCGCUUUGAUCCCAAUAGCUUUAUGGUAUUAACUUACAAGCAAUGGCAGUUUAAAUUUGAAAAGUUCCUUUUAAAGGGGAGGAAUUAAAAAAAUAAAAAAUACUGAGCACGGGGAGACGUUAUCUUAUUUUUUGCAGGGAACAAUGCUGCAUAUCACUAUUAAGACUACACUCUUUAU
rnacentral:RNase_P_RNA from 1 species